ACUUGCAUACUCUACCGUUACUCUUUUCCCUACUUGUACCUCAACUAUUUAUGUCAUGUAUUUAUGUACUUGACGCAGGGUCUGGUGUGGAACAGCUGCAACUCCGCAGAAAGCGGCAGAAGUCAACAAGUGGGGUUAUGUGACAUUUCUUUCAGCUGUCACGACAACUGGUUCCUGCAGGCCGUUACCAGUCUGUGCUCUGUAGGGACAAACAGCUGUAGUGUCAGCAGGGGUAAUGGUGUGUGUGUUUGUCUAUGUGCAGAGGGAGGGCAGCUGACUUUUGCCCCGGUAAUCAGAAUAUUGAUCUGGCAAGAGGCUCGUAGCAACAGGCUUCCUAUACUGGAAUCUGGGCCCGGGAAGUUGGCCAGUUGAUUGGCUUUGAGCACCCCACUAUCCCUGUCCAUCACCAGUAUGCUGUCAUAGCAACAGUGCCUGAGGUGAAGGCCCUGAAGACAGAGCUGCCAGUGAUCAGGGACCUGGAGGGCUCCUACUACCUCAGACAGGAGAGAGAGACGGACUGCUGUUUGGACCCUACGACAUUUACAUUUAAGUCAUUUAGCAGACGCUCUUAUCCAGAGCGACUUACAAAUUGGUGCAUUCACCUUAUGAUAUCCAGUGGAACAACCACUUUACAAUAGUGCAUCUAAAUCUUUUAAGGGGGGGGGCUAGAAGGAUUACUUUAUCCUAUCCCAGGUAUUCCUUAAAGAGGUG